rnacentral:lncRNA from 1 species
GGAGGAUGAGGGGAGGAGAGGAGGAAGAGGGGAGGAGAGGAGGAAGAGGGGAGGAGAGGAGGAGAAGGAAACGAGGAGGACGACGAGGCUGCACCACCCUUAUCAGGUUCCAGUUCUCGGUGCGCCCCGUUCUGCAAGACACUCUCCUGUGGUCAGCCCUGGCCUGCAGAGGAUUCCCGCGCUGGAUCUCUGAGGGAUGCUGGCGCCCUCUCUGCAGCACAUUCCUGAUGCCCUUGCUGACACAUGUGUCCUCUGGGUCCUCUCCUGAAACCUGAUCCUCCGGGGUGUCUUCUGGCCUCACCUCUUCUGUCCAGUUCCAGCAAGCUCACUUUGCUUAGCCUUUGAAUCCCUUCCUUCACUGUCUGCCGUGACAAUUCGGGCCUUUCACCGUCACUCAGGCCUGGACCAUCACUGUUGCCCAUCCCAUGCCAUCAACGGGUUUGCCCCAUCCCUUCGGCUCCCUACCAGGGCAUUCAGUUGUGUUGAGCAGCAGAGUGUCUCCAAGUCCCCACUGGUUGAGCUGCAUCCGGGUCCCAUCCCACAGGGGCCCCCCCUGGCCGCUGCAGGUGCAUGCUGAUCCUGCAGCUCCUCAAGGGUGUCAUCGCUUUCCCCCUUCCCAGACCCAGCACACCCUGCCUGCAUGGCGCUGUGCUGCACCUUCACUCUGGUCACGGGUCUGGCAGUCGGCUCACCAAUUCCUCCCGCUUCCCUGGGACUCGCCGGCUUUUAGCACUGCAAUUCACUCAGCAAACUGGGACUGUUGGUCACCCUACCUGGCAGCCAGUGAUAAGGUGAGGGCCACUCCUGGGAGGGAGGACACCUGUGGGGAAAAUUCUUGUGUUAUUUAUUUCUCCUUCAGGAUAGGGUGCCUGCAGCGCUUCAUGGGAGGGGGUGGGCUGAUGCUGCGGACUCAGAAGUUUCAAGGGCAUCUGGGGAGACCAGAUAUUCAGAGACCUUCUCCUAGAUGUGCCUGUUCCAUGUAUCAGGGACGCAGGUUUUCCCAACAGGGCUGGUGUCGUUGGCAUGACAGACCUGCCUUGGCUGAGCGUUCACCCGUCUUUGGAGUUCAGCCACCUUAGCAAGUCCUGGGUUUGUUCUUCAGACUUUGCUGCUCGCCCAUUGCCUGGAUCGGGGGCUACUUUGUAAACCACCAGGAAGACUCCAGUGUUUCUGCUUAAUUUUUAGAUGUUUGUUAAUUGCUCUUGGUCUCUCAUUAAUCCCCUGUGGGUCAUCCAGGAAACAUACUCACCACUGUCUGUUCUCUGAGUUUUCAUUUCCAGGCAUCCGCCCUGCCUGGAUCUCCUCACCUGCCAGGAACUUCCUCUCCACAAGCCGGCCAUCCCAGCAAAAGUUCUAACACCAAAGGUCUGGCAACUAGCCUGCCAUCUUGUGCCUGGAGCCGCCUGCGUGCCACCUACUCCCGAAGAUGGGAACCUUGUUGCCAGUUGGGCAGAUGCGGGGCAAUCCUGUACCAAGACCCCAUUUUACCACCUGCUUUCUCAGACCACUCUGGAACCCACUGUCUCAGAUUGUGUCCUCCAGGAAGCAGACCAUGAGAGGGAGUUGGCAGGGCCAAAGAUUUACUGGGGCUAACUAACACUCAGGAAAGGGAUAGGAAGGAAACAGGGCUGGAGAGCAGGUUGAGCCCGACCUGACAGUCUCGAGCAGCCCAACAGGGAGGUGUGGAGCAAGGGUUGCCCACUAGAGGGGCCUGCAUUGGGUACGGGUGAUGGGGUCCACAUGGUACCUGGCAUAUAGCAGGCUGUGCAAUCCAUAUUAACUGACUGGAUAAAUUAAUGCCCAGAAAAGGUGCCCUGGAGAAUGGGUGUGUGCUGAACACAAUAGGGAAGGGCCCAGCAUCUGCCUUGGCAUAGGCAGAACUGUGCUGUGCCCUGCAACAGGCCACCUGAGAGCUGCUUUGAUCUUGUGUGUGCAUUAGACGACUGCCAGGGGCAUGAAGGGGAUGUGCUUCCAGGGCAUUUGCUGGCAGGGCGUCUCGUGAUCUCUUGGUAUUGGUGUGAGCACAGCCUGGCAGGAGAGGGCAGAUCUCCGUGCAAAGUACGUCAGAAAGCAGAUGGAAGCCAGGCCCCCUCCUGAAAGAGGCUCCUUGAAGAUAAUUCUAACAUCUUUGUCAUCAGUGUUGACAUCUCUUGAUUGUAUCCUGUCAUUCCAUUUGAGAUCUUCCUGGUUCUGGGUAUGAUGUGUAACUUUUGAU